AAAGCGCUUUGGAUAUUACUUCCGCUUCGCUUCCUCUGGGCAGGUCCAGCUUACUUGGACUGAAACUCGUGGGUCAGGUCUUUAGGACCUUCCUUUUCUUUCCUGUCUUUUCCAUUUUGUAAUCCUUGCUUAAUGAUUAACAAAGCUUUUGUUUUCUUAAUUUUUUUUUUUUUAAAUACACAUGGAGUCUUGUUCUCUUGCCCAGGUUGAUCUCGAACUCUCGAACUCAAGCGAUCCUCCUGCUCGGCCUCCCAAAGUGCUGGGGUUCCAGGCGUGAGCCACCGUGCCUGGCCUUAUUUUCUUUCUAAUUUUAUUUCCAGUAUUGCAUUAUUCUAAACCCCACAUUGACGAAUAUCAUCCACCUGCUCAGCAGCUAUAAAUGGUGGAGUUAGAUGAGGAAAUAGAUGUUAGAAUGGAGACCUGCCCAAUGUCAAACAACUAAGAAGCAGAACUGGAACGGGAACCUGACUUUCUCGGCAGCAACUUCAAUGCCUUCUUAUAGGUUCAUUAUUGUUGUUAUACUUUUAUUAUGCUUCUAUUGUGCUGUGUAAUUUGUUUUUAAAAAUUCAAAUUAGUUAACCUCUUGUAGACAGACAUUCAUUGAAAUACAUUUGUUGAGCACCUGUGUAAACUGCUCACCAUUUAGUUGGGAGAAAGGUAAAUAAACAAAGUUACAAAGACAAAACAUACUUUGCAAUUUGGAGACUUAAUAAAUGUUUUUGAUGACAGUGUGA